rnacentral:rRNA from 1 species
GACGAACCGUGCAAACGUUAUUCGGAAUCACUGGGCUUAAAGCGCGUGUAGGCGGGACGGCACGUCGGUCGUUGAAAUCCCCCGGCUCAACCGGGGAAGGGGCGCCGAUACGACCGUCCUGGAGGGGCGUAGGGGGACCUGGAACUUCCGGUGGAGCGGUGAAAUGCGUUGAGAUCGGAAGGAACGCCCGUGGCGAAAGCGAGGUCCUGGACGCCUACUGACGCUGAGACGCGAAAGCCAGGGGAGCGAACGGG